rnacentral:lncRNA from 1 species
CCCAGGCUGAAGGGCAGGAGCGGUGGGUGCUGUCCGCGGUGCUGACCGGCGCAAGUCUCUGGAACGGGACCGAUUAGGAGGUGUCCCUGCCGCGUGACCAGCACCUGCCACCGGCCUCACCGGCCUCUCAGUCCAGCUGCACCAGGACCAAGCCCAGCAGGAGUCUGAGGGUCAAAGCACAGCACGCCCCUGUCUCUGAACAUCUGUCCUCCUGUCUUCCUCUCACCUCUGCUGCUCGCAGACUGGUUUCCGUCUCCUUGUCCUCAGCCUCCCUUUCUCUUUCUCUUUCAAUUUCUCCUGGAUUUCCUGAGAAAUAAACAUGGCCCGU